GCCGGAGUGGCGGAAUAGGCAGACGCAAGGGACUUAAAAUCCCUCGCGCUUAGGCGCGUGCCGGUUCGAUUCCGGCCUUCGGCACCA
rnacentral:tRNA from 2 species